GUUAGGAAUAUUGGACAAUGGGCGCAAGCCUGAUCCAGCCAUGCCGCGUGAGUGAUGAAGGCCUUCGGGUUGUAAAGCUCUUUAGUCCACGAAUAUAAUGACUGUAGUGGAAGAAUAAGCCCCGGCUAACUUCGUGCCAGCAGCCGCGGUAAUACGAAGGGGGCGAGCGUUAUUCGGAAUCACUGGGCGUAAAGCGUGCGUAGGCUGUUUUGUAAGUCAGAAGUGAAAGCCCAGGGCUUAACCCUGGAAUUGCUUUUGAAACUACAAGACUCGAAUUCGGGAGAGGAUAGCGGAAUUGUCAGUGUAGCAGUGAAAUGCGUAGAUAUUGACAGGAACACCAGUGGCGCAAGCGGCUAUCUGGACCGAUAUUGACGCUGAGGCACGAAAGCGUGGGGAGCAAACAGGAUUGGAAACCCUGGUAGUCC
rnacentral:rRNA from 1 species